GACGGAGGGGGCUAGCGUUGUUCGGAAUGACUGGGCGUAAAGGGCGCGUAGGCGGUUUUUUAAGUCCGCCGUCAAAUCCCAGGGCUCAACUCUGGACAGGCGGUGGAAACUACCAAGCUGGAGUACGGUAGGGGCAGAGGGAAUUUCCGGUGGAGCGGUGAAAUGCGUAGAGAUCGGAAAGAACACCAGUGGCGAAGGCGGCGGCCUGGUUCCAGACUGACACUGAGGUGCGAAAGCGUGGGGAGCAAACAGG
rnacentral:rRNA from 1 species